rnacentral:rRNA from 1 species
UGAGGAAUAUUGGGCAAUGCCCGCAAGGGGGACCCAGCAACGCCGCGUGGAGGAUGAAUGUCGUAAGAUUGUAAACUCCUGUUAGAGGGGAAGAAUAGUACCGGUUGGACCGGUAUAUGACUGUACCCUCAGAGAAAGCCCCGGCUAACUACGUGCAAGCAGCCGCGGUAAGACGUAGGGGGCAAGCGUUGUCCGGAUUUACUGGGUGUAAAGGGCGCGCAGGCGGGAUAAAAAGUCAGUGGUGAGAUCCUACAGCUUAACUGUAGAACUGCCUUUGAUACUUUUAUUCUUGAGUUCGGGAGAUAGCGACGGAAUUCCCGGUGUGGUGGUGAAAUACGUAGAUAUCUGGAAGAACACCAGUUGCGAAGGCGGUCUCUUGGUCCG